rnacentral:rRNA from 1 species
AUUGAACGCUGGCGGCAUGCUUUACACAUGCAAGUCGGACGAGUGGCGAACGGGUGCGUAACGCAUCGGAACGUACCUGGUAAUUGGGGAUAACUGUCCGAACGGACAGCUCAUACCGCAUAUUAUUCGAGCGGCCGAUGUCUGAUUAGCUGGUUGGAGGGGUAAAGGCGCACCAAGGCGACGAUCAGUAGCGGGUCUGAGAGGAUGAUCCGCCACACUGGGACUGAGACACGGCCCAGACUCCUACGGGAGGCAGCAGUGGGGAAUUUUGCGCAAUGGGGGCAAGCCUGAUCCAGCCAUGCCGCGUGUAUGAAGAAGGCCUUCGGGUUGUAAAGGACUUUUGUCAGGGAAGCGGUACCUGAAGAAUAAGCACCGGCUAACUCCGUGCCAGCAGCCGCGGUAAUUC